ACGAGAGCAACCCAGUAUCACGCUAAAGCGUGUAAUAGACACGCUGGUCCACUAGAGGAUGCGUGUCAAUGUCACGCUUUGCCUCCUCUAGGCGUGAAAAUGACACGCAUUUAUGAGGAUGAUAACCAAUAGGGGGCGAUAAUUUCUUAUUGCCAACAACUUCAACAAGAGAAGCGACGCAGUGAUAUUGCGUUCUCUGGAGUUCCAUGGGUAAGGCUUUCUUGGAAAUUUGGUGAUUAAUGUUACUAAAAUUGAGGAAAUCAUGUGUUUAUGUUAAGUCUUUGUUGCAACGUUAGCAAUAUAAUAUCACCGCUAAGGCAACAGACGAGUCGCACGCGUUUGGUCAGAAUCCAAUUGGCUCAUAUUUAGGACAUAAUUGUUUGUUCAGGUCGGUGCGGUCAUUUUAGAAAUCCUAAAGUUGGUGCAGCAUAACAUUUAAUUUGCGUGUGUGGACUAUGGAGUUAUCUAUAGUGGUUUUUACGUUACUAAGGUCAGAAACAUUAUUGGAUGACUGUUUGAUAAUCAGCUAAUGUAUUAAUCACAGAAAGCUGCAGUGACUGCAUUAUAUUAUGUUGCUAAACAGUUGUUCUAGCGUUUUUAAACCAGUAGUUUUAUUAAUUUCGCGCGGAAUGCAGUUCGUGAAAUAAGCUCUAAAUGAAAAAAUAACCGAUUUAAGUAAAUAAUUGUGUUCAUUGUAAAUCUGCUCAUCUAAACAUACAAGGCGGAACCAAUCGAUCACAGAGAGCGAUCACUGCUGACACCGUCAGCAGCACUUACAUUCAGAUUACAAUAAUAUUUCACAUUAUUACAUUCAGAUUACAAUAAUAUUUCACAUUAUAAGUGUUUUUAUAUCAAAUAAAUGCAGCCUUGGUCCGGUCAGUACCCACCACCCUUCCCUGUUAACAUCACCCACAGUUUAUACUUUUUCUUAGAUAACCAACGGCUCUUUUAAGAGCCACUUCAAUAGACCCUUUUACAGCCCACGUGAUCAAAUAGCCUGCGUGCGCAUUUUGGCAACGGAAGUGAUGUUAUUUCCCAGUGGUUCUAACGUGUAAGCAACUCAGAAAGUUUAUUAAAACGAUUUCCCCACAUCAAAACGUCUGGUUGUAGCAUUUGGUUGCACUAAUAUAAUAUACGUUUAGUAUUUGGCCAUCUUCUAACGUCUUCUAUCCACUCCACUAUAGUACACGGAUCUGGUAACUGUGUAGAAGAUAAGUCAACUUUUUAAACUAACUUUCUCUGUCUGUGUUGCUUCACUGCUGAUUCUUGCCGUGCUUCCGUUGCCAAACUGCGUGCGCAUACGUUGCCACGUCAUCAUUGUGUACAAACAGUAAAAGGGUCACUCACUCACUCUUUCGCAAGCUUCUCUGUUUUCAAGUAUUGUAAUUUUAUUCAUUUUACUCUCUCUCUCACUGUCCAAAACACUUAGCCUAUGCCUCUUUGUCUGACCAAUGUAGUAUUGUUGAAAUGGCUGCUGAGCAAGACAGAGGGAGAGCAAAGGAUGUUAUUUUCAUAGCAGACAUGCUUCUUGCUCAAAUCAAGCCAGGAAUGACAUGCUAACUGUCCAUGCUAUUGGGUGGAACCAACGGAAGCAAGAAGGCCUUCAGCAUUAUCCAGCAGAUACAUCAAGAGACGGGAAGAUUUGAGCAGUGAACUGGGGUGUCCUGAGAACAUUGUGAAUCAGUGGGUACAAGAUGUCAGACAAAAGGCUACUGAUGGAUUUGGUAGGUACCAGAUGUGAUGACCUACAUAACCUUCAGAAAUGAAUUGAACAAAUGUUUCUUAGUCUUCAUCGAAAAGCCAGCCUUUAUAAUCACACUGAAUCCAGCAACACCCUCACCAAAAAGAUUUUUUUGAUGUAUACAUGUCAAAAGUGCACCUUCAAGAAGCAAAGAUCAUUGUGAUGAGGGAGAUGAGACACCACUGCACCGCACCUAUCUCAGAAGCCUGGCUAGGAACAUCAGGAAAAUGAUAUCAGAAAUGUCUUCAGGCAAAAACAGUGGCAGUAUAAGUGAAGAGUGUCAUUGCUGGCUACUGUGUCGUCUUCAAAAAAAGGCUUGCAGAUGUAGAGAAGAAGUUCUAAGUUUGCUCAAGUUACAGCCAGGCUUUAGGACAGUGUUCUUCACUCCCAACCCUGGAGAGCCGGUGUC